UACGGGGGGAGCAAGCGUUGUUCGGAUUUACUGGGCGUAAAGGGCGCGUAGGCGGUCAGCACAAGUCAGUUGUGAAAUCUCCGGGCUUAACUCGGAAAGGUCAACUGAUACUGUGCGACUAGAGUGCAGAAGGGGCAACUGGAAUUCUCGGUGUAGCGGUGAAAUGCGUAGAUAUCGGGAGGAACACCAGUAGCGAAGGCGGCUCUCUGGGACGUGACUGACGCUGAGACGCGAAAGCGUGGGGAGCGAACAGG
rnacentral:rRNA from 1 species